rnacentral:lncRNA from 1 species
GGCUGAAACACAUUAUCGCCUUUCUCAAGUGGCCCAUCAAGAGACACUAGCUUAUGCGCGUGACCCCGACCGCCUCCGCCUUUGGGAUUUUUUUCCUCUGUUUGCCGAAAAGGAGAUUCCCUGUCGGAAUUUUACCGCUUUUCUACGAGAAAAAUGACGUAAAAAUUGAUUUUAAACAGCGGUUGACAUGCUUCGACGUACGGCAAUUGAAUACUUUGAAUUUUAUUGUCAGGAAUUGCGCCAAGCGCGCGACACUUCUUUACUAUUUCGGAUAGUGUCUGGAACGCAUACGAACAAAACGCCGCUAUUCGGAUAUAACGAUGGAUUAUUUUGGACCAAACCAACAUUUGUUAUUGAAGUAGACGUCCUGGGUGUGCAUUCUGACGAAGACAACAAAAGCCAACUCCAAAGAGACUACUUUCAAGUCCUCCAUCCCCCACUCAUUCAAACGUAGGAACGGGUUCCUCCAGUCUGACCCCUCUGCUGUCUCUGCCUCCAUACCCACCUGCAGCCCGGCCAUCUAGAUGUGUGAAGUUUUUUAUGAUUGCUUACACACUAAAAUGUAACUUUUCCCACAAUUAGCAAAACCUUACACUCAAGGAGCAAAACACAAGGCUAGAUUUGCACAACUGUAAGCACAUUGUCAGCUUCACACUAUUUGCAAAACAUUACACACAGUGAUUUGCAAAACACUAAACACAGUUGUAU